rnacentral:lncRNA from 1 species
CCUCUUAGACAAGCAAGACGCGUAUAGUAUUAUCUAGAGAAUAUCACAAACGCGUACAUACAUUCAAUACAUUUUGGGGGUGAUGCCCAAGGAAAUUAGUUUAAAAAUAAUCAUGAGUGAACGAAUACAGCAGACGUGUUAGAGGUGAAAAUUUUAUUAACUUCUGCUUUUCAUUUUGUAUCAUGUUAUUUUGGGUGUGCGUUCAAGAAUAGCGGACCAGUCGUUUCACUUCGCGAUUUGUGUUGUGAAAAUACUCCUUCAAGCUCCGAUAAAAAGUCGUACGAGUCUUUGAUCCAAUGUAUUCGAGAUAUAUCGGGACAGUAAUGUAGAAAACGUGCAAAAACAAAUUGUUUUAUUGAAAAAGCAUAAAGUUUUACGAGUAUGUUCCUCCUUGUGCGUCACUAUUGCGUGUCGUAUGUGAAAUGAUUGUGGUGAACUAUCGAUUAGGCAGUAUUGUGCGAUGAUAACUGCUAUUGUGAUAAUUAAUUUAUUUAAAUCCGUAUCCCGAUGUGACGCCGGGCCCAUCGGCUUAAAGAUUUUGUAACGCAUUGCUUCUUCUGUUUAUAGCCGACGACUGGUGCGCGCGCAGAUUUGCGUUGCCAUGGUUACGGGGUAGGGGUCCGCCCGCAGUCUGGGUUUCUACUUUCGGCUGGAACACCGCAAGGAGGAUUUAUGUGUCCCUAAUAACUAAAUUAUCCACACAAAUACAAUUUGAUAUUGUUCGGCUUCUGCCCUAGACACAAAAAGGAGUCAAGCUGGCGGCCGAAGAGGAAGAUCAUGGGCUGUUGCUCCCCUUGUUCACGGAGCCCGAGGACAGUGGCAUUGACAGCGACGACACAGGUCGAAACGCAUCGCGAAAUCGUCUGCAAGAAGACGCACAGAGCGAAUCAAGUAGCACUGAUGAUGAAGAGACCAUACCCUGGUGGAGGAUACCUAUACUAAAACAUUGCGACGAGGAAUUGGCGAAAGUUAUACCCGUCUUACAUUGUGAUGAAGAUGAUGAGG